UGGGGAAUAUUGGACAAUGGGCGAAAGCCUGAUCCAGCCAUGCCGCGUGUGUGAAGAAGGUCUUCGGAUUGUAAAGCACUUUAAGUUGGGAGGAAGGGUUGUAGAUUAAUACUCUGCAAUUUUGACGUUACCGACAGAAUAAGCACCGGCUAACUCUGUGCCAGCAGCCGCGGUAAUACAGAGGGUGCAAGCGUUAAUCGGAAUUACUGGGCGUAAAGCGCGCGUAGGUGGUUUGUUAAGUUGGAUGUGAAAUCCCCGGGCUCAACCUGGGAACUGCAUUCAAAACUGACUGACUAGAGUAUGGUAGAGGGUGGUGGAAUUUCCUGUGUAGCGGUGAAAUGCGUAGAUAUAGGAAGGAACACCAGUGGCGAAGGCGACCACCUGGACUAAUACUGACACUGAGUGCGAAAGCGUGGGGAGCAAACAGGAUUAGAUACCCAGGUAGUCCCUGAGCGGGCUGGCAAGGCGCAU
rnacentral:rRNA from 1 species